AUGCGGGGGCGCGCGGGCGAGGGGCAGACCCCAGCGAGGGCCGGGGCCGGGGGCGCGGGGCGGGGGCGACCCGGACCCGCGGGAGGGACGGAGGCGGGAGGAGAACGGCCGCCCCGCCCCGCCCCUCCCCCCCGCCCCGCCUCCGCCCGGGGGUCCCGUCCCCCGCCCCGCCCGGCGGGUUAUGCAACGCUCCCGCGCCCCGCCCCCGCCGCCCCCCGCCCCCCGCCCCCGCCCCCGCCCCGCCGCCCAGGCCUGCGGAACAAAGCGCGGGGCCCGCGGCCCGGCGGGCAGGGCGGCCGCCAUGUUGGCGGGGGCGGCGAACAAAGGCGCGCGGCCCGAGCCCGAGGCCCCCCGCCCCGCGGCCCGCGGCCCGGCCGGCAGGGGGCGCUGUGCCGGCGCCGCCCGCGCCCGGACAAUGCGCCGCGGCCCGGCCGCCGCUCCCCCGCGCCCCGCCGCCCCGCCGCGCGCCCCGCCCGCGCCCCCUCCCCGCCCCGAGCGGCGCCCGCUCCCCCGCGGCCCGCGGGUCUCACCUGCCGGCCGCCUAGGCCGCCGUCCUCAGCCCGCGGGCCCCGCCGUCCCGCGCCGCACUCCCGCCCCGGCCCGACCGAGCCAGACGGCGCCGCCCCGCCCCCGCUCCGCUCCGCGGCCGCCGCCGCCCGCCCCCGGCCGCACGGCGCACGCGCACUGCGCCCGCCGACUGCGCCGGCCGCGCCGCCCGGCCCCGGCCCGACGGGCCGCACUGCGCAGGCGCCGCGGGCGGGGGGCGGGGCCCGCUGGGAGGGCGGGGCCUGGAGCUCGGCGGGGCGCGGCCCGAGCCCGGACUCGGUCCCGCGACGCUCACCUGGAGGCGGGGCGGGGCCCGGCGAGGCGGCGGGAAGAGGCCUCGGAGCCGGGCUGGCUGGCGGCGGGACGGGGCCUGGCGCGACCCAGCCCGCGGCGACGCAGGAAAAAGCUUCUUUGCCUCCUGGUUCCCUCAGGAGCUUCCUCUACCCCACCAUCUGAAUUCUGAUUCUCCAUCAUCGUACAAGCCUCUUCUGUGACCUGUGGAAUCCUGUCCCUUUCUUUCCGAUGAUGGUAAAGACUCUAUUUUCUUAUGCUCCCAGGAGGCAAGAGGAAAUAUGUUCAUUCCCUUUUUCUGGAAGCAGCAAAACCAUCAGAUUUCCAACUGGAAAGUGUGGAUGUGCACAUUCAGGAGCCCUCUAGAGACCCCAGGAGAGGCAGCCCACAUGGGGCAGAGGUCCGGGUGCCGUGUCAUCUGGGGCGCAUCUGGGAUGCGUCUGAAAGGCCUGGAAGGAUUGGGAGGGGUCAGGAACCCUGAGACUGAAGCUGCACACACUCGCCCACCUGUCACUACGAUGACACAGAGAAGCAGUGACACUGGCCUGCACGCAGAUUCAUCCCCAGAAAGAGGGGUGGGGGCGGGGAACACCAUGUCUUGCCCGAUGAGCGACAGGGGAAUGGACAGAGAAGAUGUGAUGUCUACGUGCAGGGCCUUGAAAAUAGAAGAUGCUGCCGUCUGCCGCAGCUGGAUGACCCAGCGGAUGCCGGGCUCAGUACAGCGAGGCAGACACAGGACGAAGGCCACGUGGUUCCCCUGCCAGGAUGGCCGUGGAGUCCUCGGCAGGGAAGCAGGGCGGGAGAGUGGGAUCCACGGCAGGAGGACCCGGGUGGGGGCGGGGGGCUCCGUUCAAGGGAGAAGGUUCCAGUGCAGGAUGAACAAGUCCGGAGACCUGACAUCCACCCUGUUUCCGAUGCCAACGAUGCUGUGUCUGCCCUUGAAAUCUACCAGGAGGGCCAACCUCGUGUUAAGCGUUUCACCACAAUCAAAUAAAAUAAUAAUAAUAAUAAAAUUGAUUCUGUAAAUAAUUUUUUAAAAAGAAGAAGAAGAAAAAGAAAAUAUAAGCAAGAGCUCAGGCAUGACAAAGCGGCCCCAGGGGACAGGAGGAAUUGCUGAGGGGGCCCCCAGGAUGGUAGAAACCCGGGGUCUGGCCCCAGGCCCCACUAAAUCCCCUGGUGCAGGUCGUGGCCAGGCUGAUCCCCAAUGGGAGCUCUCGGGGACAAGUGCAGACCCCCAGGACCAGGGGGCUCCCCUGCCCCGUCCAGCAGGAGCCCUGACAAGAUGUCCUCGCCUCCCUGGGACCCCAGAAGAGUUGCAGUCUGGCAGUGAGAGCCAGGGCCCGGCUGGGGGACGCCACCUCCCCCUGGACAGACCCCUGCUCUGGAUUGAGACUUCUGUCACCUGUGACCAGGAGCUUUCUAACUCAUUGAUUUUAAUAAAAAUAGCAUUUAUGUUAAGAUUAGAUACAUGGGACACCAUGUGGCUCAGCAGUUGAGCGUCUGCCUUCAGCCCAGGGCAUGAUCCUGGGGUCCUGGGAUUGAGUCUCACAUUGGGCUCCCUGCUUGGAGCCUGCUUCUCCCUCUGCCUGUGUCUCUGCCUCCCUGUGUCUCUCAUGAAUAAAUAAAUAAAAUCUUUUUUAAAAAGAUUAGAUAUGACAUGAUGGCAUUUGUCAUAUUUGUUGAUGAAUUACUAAACAUCAUUUUUAAACGCAGCAAUUAUAUGAGAUGAUAUUAUUAAAGUUCCCCUCAUUUGCUUUGUUGAUGGAAAGUUGAUACAGAAGCUUUCCAAAUAUGUCUUUGGGGAGGUUAAAAAUUGGUUCCAGUGACUUUAGUAAGAAAAGCAGUCAAUACAUUCUAAUAAAAACCUAGAGAAAAAAUUAUUUAAACAUUUUUUUCCCAACAACAAAAAAAG
rnacentral:lncRNA from 1 species